rnacentral:rRNA from 1 species
AGCUCGUAGCGGUUCUGACGUGCAAAUCGAUCGUCAAAUUUGGGUAUAGGGGCGAAAGACUAAUCGAACCAUCUAGUAGCUGGUUCCCUCCGAAGUUUCCCUCAGGAUAGCUGGAGCCCGAGUGUGUGUGCAGUUUUAUCAGGUAAAGCGAAUGAUUAGAGGCCUUGGGGUUGAAAUGACCUCAACCUAUUCUCAAACUUUAAAUGGGUAAGAUGUUCCACUUGCUUAACUCGUGCACUCGCGUGCGGCCUUCCGGGGCCAACCUCGUGUGCACUGUUGGUGCGUGGCUGUGUGUGCGUCUUCGGGCGUGUGCGCGACUGYGCGCCAAUGUGAAGUGGAUCUCUUGAAUGCAGGGGCUCCAAGUGGGCCAUUUUUGGUAAGCAGAACUGGCGAUGCGGGAUGAACCGAACGCUGGGUUAAGGUGCCAAAGUCGACGCUCAUCAGAGCCCACGAAAGGUGUUGGUUGAUAUAGACAGCAGGACGGUGGCCAUGGAAGUCGGAAUCCGCUAAGGAGUGUGUAACAACCCACCUGCCGAAUCAACUAGCCCUGAAAAUGGAUGGCGCUCAAGCGUCGCACCUAUCCCCGGCCGCCGUGUCGAGGUGUGUGGCCAGCACGGCGAGUAGGAGGGCGCUGGGAUGGCUGUGCAGGCUGGCGCGUGAGCCUAGUUGAAGCCCGUCUCGGGUGCAGAUCUUGGUGGUAGUAGCAAUUAUUCAAAUGAGAUCUUUGAAGGCCGAAGUGGAGAAGGGUUCCACGUGAACAGCACUUGGACGUGGGUGAGUCGGUCCUAAGGGAUGGGCGAAAGCCUGUGAGUUAAGCGCGCAUUCGUGGCACGUGCCUGCGUCUGCCUGAGGUGGCCUGUGCGUUCUCUCUCGGGGGAGUGUGCCGGCUGCUGAGGGUGCGUGGGUGCGUCUACGGCUUGAAAGAGUGGCGCGAUGUCCCGAAAGGGAAUCGGGUUAAUAUUCCCGAACCGGACACUUGGAUGCUGCCGGCGGUAGACAACGGCAACGUAUACGACCUCGGAGACGCCUGCGACAGACCUGGGAAGAGUUGUCUUUUCUUCUUGACCGUACCUACCGUGUACUUGGCCCUGGAAGCAGUUUACCUUGAGAUAGGGCUGGAGGUCGGGCAAAGCGUCGUACCUGUUGCGGCGUCCGGUGCUCUGUCGUGGGCCCCUGAAAAUCUGAGGAAGCGUUAAGUGAUCUCGUGUUCGGCCGUAC